AUCCUGGCUCAGGAUGAACGCUAGCGACAGGCCUAACACAUGCAAGUCGAGGGCAGCGCGGAUCAAGCUUGCUUGAUUGGCGGCGACCGGCGAACGGGUGCGUAACAGGUGUGCAAUCUGUCCAUAAUCGGGGAAUAGCCCAGCGAAGGUUGGAUUAAUGCUCCAUGUGAGUAGAGGAGGCAUCUCUUUUAUUUGAAACGUAAUGGAUGGGGAUGCGUGACAUUAGGUAGUAGGUGAGGUAACGGCUCACCUAGCCGACGAUGUCUAGGGGUUCCGAGAGGAAGGUCCCCCACACUGGAACUGAGACACGGUCCAGACUCCUACGGGAGGCAGCAGUGAGGAAUAUUGGUCAAUGGACGAGAGUCUGAACCAGCCAAGUAGCGUGAAGGAUGAAGGUUCUAUGGAUUGUAAACUUCUUUUAUACGGGAAUAAAGCCCGCUACGUGUAGCGGUUUGUAUGUACCGUAUGAAUAAGCAUCGGCUAACUCCGUG
rnacentral:rRNA from 1 species